rnacentral:rRNA from 1 species
GACGAACGCUGGCGGCGUGCCUAAUACAUGCAAGUCGAACGAACUCUGGUAUUGAUUGGUGCUUGCAUCAUGAUUUACAUUUGAGUGAGUGGCGAACUGGUGAGUAACACGUGGGAAACCUGCCCAGAAGCGGGGGAUAACACCUGGAAACAGAUGCUAAUACCGCAUAACAACUUGGACCGCAUGGUCCGAGUUUGAAAGAUGGCUUCGGCUAUCACUUUUGGAUGGUCCCGCGGCGUAUUAGCUAGAUGGUGGGGUAACGGCUCACCAUGGCAAUGAUACGUAGCCGACCUGAGAGGGUAAUCGGCCACAUUGGGACUGAGACACGGCCCAAACUCCUACGGGAGGCAGCAGUAGGGAAUCUUCCACAAUGGACGAAAGUCUGAUGGAGCAACGCCGCGUGAGUGAAGAAGGGUUUCGGCUCGUAAAACUCUGUUGUUAAAGAAGAACAUAUCUGAGAGUAACUGUUCAGGUGUUGACGGUAUUUAACCAGAAAGCCACGGCUAACUACGUGCCAGCAGCCGCGGUAAUACGUAGGUGGCAAGCGUUGUCCGGAUUUAUUGGGCGUAAAGCGAGCGCAGGCGGUUUUUUAAGUCUAAUGUGAAAGCCUUCGGCUCAACCGAAGAAGUGCAUCGGAAACUGGGAAACUUGAGUGCAGAAGAGGACAGUGGAACUCCAUGUGUAGCGGUGAAAUGCGUAGAUAUAUGGAAGAACACCAGUGGCGAAGGCGGCUGUCUGGUCUGUAACUGACGCUGAGGCUCGAAAGUAUGGGUAGCAAACAGGAUUAGAUACCCUGGUAGUCCAUACCGUAAACGAUGAAUGCUAAGUGUUGGAGGGUUUCCGCCCUUCAGUGCUGCACCUAACGCAUUAAGCAUUCCGCCUGGGGAGUACGGCCGCAAGGCUGAAACUCAAAGGAAUUGACGGGGGCCCGCACAAGCGGUGGAGCAUGUGGUUUAAUUCGAAGCUACGCGAAGAACCUUACCAGGUCUUGACAUACUAUGCAAAUCUAAGAGAUUAGACGUUCCCUUCGGGGACAUGGAUACAGGUGGUGCAUGGUUGUCGUCAGCUCGUGUCGUGAGAUGUUGGGUUAAGUCCCGCAACGAGCGCAACCCUUAUUAUCAGUUGCCAGCAUUAAGUUGGGCACUCUGGUGAGACUGCCGGUGACAAACCGGAGGAAGGUGGGGAUGACGUCAAAUCAUCAUGCCCCUUAUGACCUGGGCUACACACGUGCUACAAUGGAUGGUACAACGAGUUGCGAACUCGCGAGAGUAAGCUAAUCUCUUAAAGCCAUUCUCAGUUCGGAUUGUAGGCUGCAACUCGCCUACAUGAAGUCGGAAUCGCUAGUAAUCGCGGAUCAGCAUGCCGCGGUGAAUACGUUCCCGGGCCUUGUACACACCGCCCGUCACACCAUGAGAGUUUGUAACACCCAAAGUCGGUGGGGUAACCUUUUAGGAACCAGCCGCCUAAGGUGGGACAGAUGAUUAGGGUG